rnacentral:rRNA from 1 species
UACGUAGGGGGCUAGCGUUAUCCGGAAUUACUGGGCGUACAGGGUGCGUAGGUGGUUUCUUAAGUCAGAGGUGAAAGGCUACGGCUCAACCGUAGUAAGCCUUUAAAACUGGGAAACUUGAGUGCAGGAGAGGAGAGUGGAAUUCCUAGUGUAGCGGUGAAAUGCGUAGAUAUUUGGAAGAACACCGGUGGCGAAGGCGACUUGCUGGGCAGCAACUGACGCUGAGGCGCGAAAGCCAGGGUAGCAAACGGGAUUAGAUACCCCGGUAGUCCCUGAGCGGGCUGG